GUGUGGCAGGGGUGGGGAGAGGUCGGAGUGGGGGGUGGGGGGUGCAUUAUAAAUGCAGCCAGCCAGAGGGCUCCUGGCCUCAGAACCUAGGACCACACCAGUCCCUGAGAGUUUGUAGAAGCUUCACUGAGAUGAAGCUGCCAGGCCAAGAGGAGUCUGACCUCUCCAGUGCUAGUGAAAAUGUGCCCACAGGAGAGCUGGACAGUGGCCCUGGCUCCGGCCUCAGUCCUGAUGGCCCCUUAGACACAGACAGCAGGGAACUGGAGGUACCCAAGGACCCUCCGCUCUUCAUUCAGCUGAAUGAGCUACUGGGCUGGCCCCACGCGCCCGAGUGGAAAGAGACAGGCAGGUGGGUGCUGUUUGAGGAGAAGUUGGAAGUGGGUGCAGACCGGUGGAGCGCCCCCCACGUGCCCACUGUGGCACUGCCCAGCCUCCAGAAGCUCCGCAGCUUGUUGGCCAAGGGCCUUGUCCUGCUGGACUGUCCAGCUCUGAGCCUCCAGGAGCUCGCAGAGCAAGUGACCAGAGUGGAGUCGCUGAGCCCAGAGCUGAGAGGGAAGCUGAAGGCCUUGCUGUUGCAGAGACCGCAGCACCUCAUCCAGACCCCAUGCACCAGCCCCUGCUGGGGAUCUGCCCAUUCGAGAGAGGCUUCUCAGGAGGAGGAAGCCCCCCUGAAGGAACAGCAUCAGAACCCUCGAAGACAGAAGUUCCCUGCAGGGGCUGAAGCAGGAGCUGUGCUGGCAGGACAGCUGGGCUUCCUGGAACAGCCACUGGGGGUCUUUGUGCGACUGCAGGAUCCAGUGGUGCUGGGGCCCCUUAUUGAGGUGCCCCUCCCCAGCAGGUUUUUCUGCCUCCUCCUCGGUCCCCCUACACUGGGCAGGGGCUACCAUGAGAUGGGCCGAGCAGCGGCCAUCCUCCUCAGUGACCUGCAAUUUCAGUGGAGAGUUCGGCGGGCCAGCAGCCUUCAUGACCUUCUGGCAGCCCUGGAUGCUUUCUUAGAGGAAGUGACAGUGCUCCCUCCAGGUCGAUGGGACCCGACAGCCCGGAUUCCCCCACCUAAACGCCUGCCCUCUGAGCACAAAAGGCUCCCCUCGCAAUUGCGGUUGGCCAAGGGGCCCUCUCUCCGGAGAAGGACCCCAGCUGAGGACAGGCACGGCCGCAGGCAGCACGCGGCCAACCCGGAGUUGCGGCGGACAGGCAGGCUGUUCGGGGGCCUAGUCCAGGACGUGCGGCGGAAGGCCUCGUGGUACCCCAGCGACUUCUUGGACGCCCUGCACCCCCAGUGCUUCUCGGCCGUGCUCUACAUUUACCUGGCCACCAUCACUAACGCCAUCACUUUCGGGGGUCUGCUGGGAGAAGCCACCGACGGUGCGCAGGGGGUGCUGGAAAGCUUCCUGGGCACGGCAGUGACUGGAGCUGCCUUCUGCCUGACGGCUGGCCAGCCCCUCACCAUUCUUAGCAGCACCGGGCCAGUGCUGGUCUUUGAACGUCUGCUGUUCUCCUUCAGCAGAGAUCACAGCCUGGAUUACCUGCCCUUCCGCCUGUGGGUUGGCAUCUGGGUGGCCAUCUUUUGCCUGGUGCUGGUGGCCACGGAGGCCAGCGUGUUGGUGCGCUACUUUACCCGCUUCACCGAAGAAGGCUUCUGUGCUCUCAUCAGUCUCAUCUUCAUCUAUGAUGCUGUUGGAAAAAUGCUGACCUUGACCCGUGCCUAUCCCAUCCAGAGACCUGGCUCUCCCACCUAUGGCUGUCUCUGCCAGUACCCAGAUCCAGGAGGAAAUGAGUCUCAGCGGACAAGCACAAACCCUAAAGACAGAGAUGACAUCUUGAGCAUGGACCUAGGCCUGGUCAAUGCAUCCUUGCUGCCCCCACCUGAGUGUGCCCAGCGGGGAGGCCAUCCUCGUGGGCCCGGCUGUCAUACAGUCCCAGAUAUUGCCUUCUUCUCCAUCCUCCUCUUCCUUACUUCCUUCCUCUUUGCCAUGGCCCUCAAGCACGUAAAGACCAGUCGCUUCUUCCCCUCCGUGGUACGCAAGAUGCUGGGUGACUUCUCCUCGGUCCUGGCCAUCCUGCUAGGCUGUGGCCUCGAUGCCUUCCUUGGCUUAGCCACACCGAAGCUCAUGGUGCCCAGAGAGUUCAAGCCCACACUCCCUGGACGUGGCUGGCUGGUGUCACCUUUUGGAGCCAACCCCUGGUGGCUGAGUGUGGCAGCUGCCCUGCCUGCUCUGCUAUUGACUAUCCUCAUUUUCAUGGACCAGCAGAUCACAGGGGUCAUCCUCAACCGUGCUGAAUACAGACUGAGGAAGGGAGCUGGCUUCCACCUGGACCUCUUCUGUGUGGCUGUGCUCAUGCCCCUCACAUCAGCGCUCGGGCUGCCCUGGUAUGUCUCAGCCACUGUCAUCUCCCUGGCCCACAUGGACAGUCUUCGGAGAGAGAGCAGAGCCUGUGCCCCAGGGGAGGCUCCUAGCUUCCUGGGCAUCAGAGAGCAGAGGCUGACAGGACUGGCAGUAUUCAUCCUCACAGGAAUCUCCAUCUUCCUGGCACCUAUACUCAAGUUCAUCCCAGUGCCUCUUCUCUAUGGCAUCUUCCUGUACAUGGGGGUGACAGCGAUUAGCAGCAUCCAGUUCACGAAGAGGGUGCAACUAUUAUUGAUACCAGCGAAGCACCAGCCAGACCUUCUGUUCUUGCGGCAUGUGCCCCUGAGCAGGGUCCACCUGUUCACAGCCAUCCAGCUUGCCUGCCUGGGUCUGCUUUGGAUAAUCAAGUCUACCCCUGCAGCUAUCAUCUUCCCCAUCAUGUUGCUGGGCCUGGUGGGGGUCCGAAAGGCACUGGAGUGGGUCUUCUCGCCACAGGAACUCCUCUGGCUGGAUGAGCUGAUGCCGGAGAAGGAGAGAAGCAUCCCUGAAAGCGGCGUGGAGCCAGAGUGCUCGUUCAGUGGAAGUGACAGUGAAGAUGUGCGCUCCUGGAGAACAGGGGAGGGUCAGAGCUGAUGUAUCAGCCAAAGGCUCCGGAAAUCAACAUCUCUGUGAAUUAGCUGGAGUAGGAGUAUGGAGUUGAGACCCAGGAAACUGAGGUAUUUACUCAGGAAGUCAGGAAAUUACUGGCCUUUGGCUUAACUGCCAGAUGCUCAGUCAGCUGGGAACCUGGAACGCUGGGGCAGGACUGGAAGGCAGCUGGCCAAGACCUCAGUCACCCUCCUGAGCUGGGGGUGGAGAGUGGCAGGGAACAAGCAGGCUUGCUUUGUGGUUAGGAAAGUCUGGUAACUCAGAGGGACUGACCAGGCCCCAUUCACCCUUUACUCCAGUAAAGGAACAUAAGUCUAGGAGCCCUUCUCAUUUUGAAACUUCUAUCCUCACAGAUUCUCUUUUAUACAAUCGGGGGGUUGUCAGGGAACUCUUCUCAGUUUGCAAAAGGGAAAAAUGUCCCUCUUUUCAGAAUAAGUAUUCCUCUAUUUUAAAGUGUUUUUACAUGUAUAAAAAUAAACUUAAUUUUUUAAACCACAGAAGUGAAUGAGAUUACUGCAGAAAUAUUGGAACACUCUAGAUAUGCAUAAUUUUGAAAUGGAAACCAUUCCAG